AGCUAAUAGAUACCCGGGUAGUCCACGCCCUAAACGAUGUCUACUAGUUGUUGGUGGAGUAAAAUCCAUGAGUAAACGCAGCUAAACGCGUGAAGUAGACCGCCUGGGGAGUACGGUCGCAAGAUUAAAACUCAAGGAAUUGACGGGGGCCCGCACAAGCGGUGGAUUAUGUGGAUUAAAUUCGAUGCAACGCGAAAAACCUUACCUGGCCUUGACAUGCCACUAACGAAGCAGAGAUGCAUUAGGUGCCCGUAAGGGAAAGUGGACACAGGUGCUGCAUGGCUGUCGUCAGCUCGUGUCGUGAGAUGUUGGGUUAAAGUCCCGCAACGAGCGCAACCCUUGCCAUUAAUUGCCAUCAUUUAGUUGGGCACUUUAAUGGGACUGCCGGUGACAAACCGGAGGAAGGUGGGGAGUGACGUCAAGUCCUCAUGGCCCUUAUGGCCAGGGCUUCACACGUAAUAACAAUAGGUCGGUACAGAGAGUUGCCAACCCGCGAGGGGAGGCUAAUCUCAGAAAGACCGAUCGUAGUCCGGUAUUGUUCUCU
rnacentral:rRNA from 1 species